CCGCCCACUUCCGCCCGCCGCCGGCUCCUUCCCUUUUAUAACCUCGCUGCCGCCGAGCGCCCGCGCGUCCUUCCGGUGCGAGCCGACUCUCCCAGGACGCUUUGCGGCGCCCGAGCCGCCGCGGCCCUGCGGCCCUUGUGGCGGGGGUAGGGGAGGCGGGGCGAGAUGAAGGGCUCGCGCGCCUGCCGUUCCGCCAGGGAGGGCCGCUAGUGGGUUCGCCCCGGGCGCCCUCGGCUUCGGCGCCGGCCCCAGCGUUCCGACUGGGCUUUGUGACGCCACGCGCUCCCGCGCCGGGCCCGCUGCUCCGGGUGUUGGCGGAGGACAGCGGGCUCCGGGGCGGCCGGGUGGGGCAGGCCGAGUCCUCGCGUGCCUUGCGCGUCCCCGCGGACUCGAGCCGCCAUCCGGCCGCGAGGUCUGGGCGCCUCGGCCCGAGGACGCUGGUUUCGAGCGGGGCCAAAGUAGACAAAGCUCGCCUCCAUUUUUUCUGAUUAUGCAGAAAAUCGAAUGUAGACAAGCGAGGCAUUCUGAGGCCGUCCAGUCUCGGGGCAUUUAGGAAUGUGCAGGUGUAUAUUAGCUUAAAAGUAUUAUACUAAUAAUAAAGGUUGACUUGGCAUAUGAAGAUUCGGGGAAUAGACCACGGACCACAAAGUUAAGAAUGAUAGCAUAUAUUCUACUAGGAAAAAAAAAAAAAGCCUUCUCACCAUAUGCAGACAAAUUCUCAGACUGGAGGGAGGGAGAAUUCAGAGAGAAAAGGUGGUCCCACAGGUUUGUGAUUAGACCUAAAAAUUCCAGGCCAGCAAGCCGUGCCUAGGAGCCCCCCUCCCUGGACCUCCGUGAAGAAUGACCUGCUUCUCUGAGAUUCCACCUUCCCUGAAGCUUAGAGAGGCGCACAGCAAAGGGAACUGAGAAAGGAGUAGAGGUGAAAGUAGGCAAAUGCGGUGUCCCGGAAGCCAAGGGAAGACAACCUUCAAGGAAGACAGAAAGAACUGGGUCUGAUGCUGCUGGUGGGUCAAGGAGAAUGAGGCCUGAGCACUGACCAUUGGGUUUAACAGUCGGGAGGUCACUGAUGAUCCUGAGUAGACCAGAUGAACGUAUGAACAUAACCGAAUGCAGACAGGCAGAGGAAAGGGGCAGAUCACAUGGUACCACGUCCCUGGCUGCUGUCCUAGACUUGUCAAUCACAGCAUUCCCCGUGCUCACUGUUCUCUUCCAAAACACAGCUCUACCUAUGCAGACCCAGGCUAGUCCUCGCACAUGGUGGUCUUAUUCAGCACCGUAUGAUAGGCUAACCAUUGGCCUGGGAGGGGAGCCUGACACAGAAGGCCCUGCCAAUGCCCAUCACAUCCCCUUUCUGAAAUAUGCGAGGUAGGCUGCUAUCAGUAGAAUCUGAAGCUGAGAGACUGCACAAGGGGAGGUUGUGAGGUAGGAAGGCCACGCUGGACCACUAGUGGGCUGAAGUUUCAAAACAGGCAGAACACGUGAUCAUGGAGCUGAAUUUAUGGCAUAGAAAACGGCGUGCAGAUCAGAGUGCAGGGGCUGCCUGGUAGCAGGAGAAGAAGGGAGAAGCCCCCCAAGCAGAAGCAGAGAUGGGGAAUGUGGCUGAGUCACGUCUCGGUGGGCACUAGAGUCAGACCCACAAAGCACCGCCCUGUUCCAAACCUCCCACCAGCCCGGUGCCUCCCGGAGCCCCGUCCUUCCAUCUCCUCGAGGCUCUUCCCCCAUCGCUGUGAAGGUCUGCACGUGAAGCCCCCUACCUGAGCUCACUUGAGCGCAAUGAAGUAAACCAGCAACACAGUGGGCACUAUUUUACUAAGUCAGAGUGUGAUCUCAGUAAGAUGUGCUCAGAGGCUCCUGAAUUAAAGCCAAAGAACAGAAACAAAAUAGGAAAUGGGAUUGAUAGACCAGACACCGGGAUGUAUUCAGAGUGUGGUAACAGCACAGGGGUCUUUCCAGGAGUCUAACAGGAAAAGGGUGGGUCUCUCACCGACUUUUGCCUUCCUGGGCUUGACCGAGCCCGUGAUGAAGUGAGGACGAUGUGAGGAAGGCCAGACUUUCGUAGUGAUGGAAGUUUUUUUGUGUUGGAGAGACCGAGGUAGGCAGCGUCCUUAAACUGGGAGCACCGGGUGAGCUAGUCCCUUGCAUUCCUGAGGCUCAGUAGCUGGGUCAUAUGCAUCUGCUAAAGAUAUCCCAAGGUCACUAGACCUUUGACUGAAGUAGUUAUUUUUGUUGAGUUCAGUGGUCCAAUUUGUCUUUUGCACAUCGAAUGUACAAAAUUCAAAAUUUGUUACGGUUCUGGGCACAGGGGUCAACUAUGAGCUAGACCAUUAAGGGAUCAGGAAAUCUCCCAACUAAACCAUCUUGGGAAGGCUCUCCGGGAUCUCUGCUUUAGGGCACCAGGGAAGAAGUUUCCAGACCUAUUCCUGAACCAUGGACACGAAAAAAGUAUUCAUCAGAGUCUAGAUGAUUUCAAUCAGAUUAACUGUAGCCUCUUGAUUUUCAUUUUAUAGACUGAGUUUUAGACUUAUUACAAUGAUAUUUAUUGAGCAACUACUUUGUGCCAGGCUCCAUCUCAGUGCGGGAAUGCCACGUGAGUCAACAAGGGCUGGAGGCCCAACUUUGGUUUUCUGGACACUACAGAUAACGCCAGCAGUUCUCGUGUGACCCUAGAGAUGGGAGGAGACCCAAACAUGACUGAGAUUGAAUUUCUCAUCACACAGGCAAGUUGACUUAAUAUGACUUAGAAACUUCAAAAUGUGGCAUUUUUUAAAUUUUUGCUACUCGUUUUAGAGUAAAAUUCAUAACCAUUAGCUAUAUAUUAUCUCAUUAAAACUCACAAUAAUCCUA